CUUCGAGCGGUCCUUUGAGUUCACCCAUCUUCGUACUAGUCUUUGAAGUGAGGCUGUGAUAAUGAGGGGAGAAAUGGAAUUUUUUGAUGGAUUUCGGGGUGAUAUCUUUGACUUUUCAACUCUCUACGUGGCCCGAUUCCAGGGAUGCCAUCAACGUGGCCCGAUACCAGGGAUGCCAUCAACGUGGCCCGAUUCCAUGGAUGCCCUUCAUCUACGGAAGUGCUACGAUUUCUCUCGCGUUCCGAGACAAGAAGUGAGAGAUGUGCCAUUUCCAUUUCCUUUGAAAAAGAGUGGAAGAAAAAAUAUACGUUUCUGCUCCGCAUUUUGGAGAACAAGUGAAUUUUUCAACGUCGACUGUGAAUGUCUUCCGUUGUUUCAAUAGCUGCAAGUACACAAGUAUUCUGAUUCGGUGGCACCGGAACGAGACAGCAAGCGCUGCACACCUGAGUGAUUUACGGGCGGUGGAAGCGGAGCGUCAUCGAGCCUCGAUACUGAGAAAAGCGUCAAAUGGCUAUCGGCGACGAGUCUUCGAUGUGUCGGUUAAAUUGCAUGUCUCCAAUGAGAAGCUAUGACCACACAGUCGCCAAAACCAGGUGGUGACGCGGGAGUGGGAGAGCUGCGUCGUUUCUUGUGGCGUUGACAGUAUGAAAGAUACCACUCGACGUGGAAGAAAUGUCGCUUGUACCCAAUACUACUACUGGGUAUUAGUUACGCGACAGGUUGUAUUUUGCCAGCUGCAUAUGACGCGACACAGGUGUGGAUCGCCUAGCGACAAAGUGUGCAGCAAGCACAGAAAUCCAGGCGGCCGACGAAGACAGAACUUUGUCUAGAAUUUUUGUGUCCGUCGUCGCAUUCCCCGUAUCACAGCACGAAUUUGGACAGAACCGUAGGCAAGUUUCUUUGCAUUUUUCUGCAGGGUCGCAACCAAUUACGCAUGGAAACUGUGCAAUUCGUACGUGCAGGGGGAGGCGUUGUAUUCACAACAUGUGAGUUGGCGACGCAUUUAUCGAAUUUUUGGCAUCCGCCUCAAACAUCCCAUAAUACUGCGAAGCAUGGGCUCCUUUUAAUACCUACGUCGUAAUUUUGGAUUUCCAGUAGUGUGCAUGCUACGCUGACUCAUUCCUAAGUAAUGUGCAAACCGCCGCUUUAUCACUAGACUUUACGCACUGCUGUCUCUAGC
rnacentral:lncRNA from 1 species